GUGUAGCGGNGAAAUGCGUAGAUAUAUGGAGGAACACCAGUGGCGAAAGCGGCUCUCUGNUCUGUCACUGACGCUGAGGCUCGAAAGCGUGGGUAGCGANCAGGAUUAGAUACCCUGGUAGUNCACGCCGUAAACGAUGAGUGCUAGGUGUUAGGCCCUUUCCGGGGCUUAGUGCCGGAGCUAACGCAAUAANCACUCCGCCUAGGGAGUACGACCGCAAGGUUGAAACUCAAAGGAAUUGACGGGGGCCCGCACAAGCGGUGGAGCAUGUGGUUUAAUUCGAAGCAACGCGAAGAACCUUACCAGGUCUUGACAUCCCGAUGCUAUUCUUAGAGAUAGGAAGUUACUUCGGUACAUUGGAGACAGGUGGUGCAUGGUUGUCGUCAGCUCGUGUCGUGAGAUGUUGGGUUAAGUCCCGCAACGAGCGCAACCCUUAUUGUUAGUUGCCAUCAUUAAGUUGGGCACUCUAGCGAGACUGCCGGUAAUAAACCGGAGGAAGGUGGGGAUGACGUCAAAUCAUCAUGCCCCUUAUGACCUGGGCUACACACGUGCUACAAUGGUCGGUACAACGAGUUGCGAGCCGGUGACGGCAAGCUAAUCUCUGAAAGCCGAUCUCAGUUCGGAUUGGAGGCUGCAACUCGCCUCCAUGAAGUCGGAAUCGCUAGUAAUCGCGGAUCAGCACGCCGCGGUGAAUACGUUCCCGGGCCUUGUACACACCGCCCGUCACACCACGAGAGUUUGUAACACCCGAAGUCGGUGAGGUAACCUUUUAGGGGCCAGCCGCC
rnacentral:rRNA from 1 species